UACAGAGGGGGCCAGCGUUAUUCGGAAUUAUUGGGCGUAAAGGGCGCGUAGGCGGCUUUGCGUGUCUUUCGUGAAAUCCCUCGGCUCAACUGAGGACGUGCGGAAGAAACUGCAGGGCUGGAGUCCGGGAGAGGAGGGUGGAAUUCCUGGUGUAGCGGUGAAAUGCGCAGAUAUCAGGAAGAACACCCGUGGCGAAGGCGGUUCUCUGGGACGGUACUGACGCUGAGACGCGAAAGCGUGGGGAGCGAACAGG
rnacentral:rRNA from 1 species